CCUACGGGUGGCAGCAGUGGGGAAUAUUGGGCAAUGGGCGCAAGCCUGACCCAGCAACGCCGCGUGAAGGAAGAAGGCUUUCGGGUUGUAAACUUCUUUUCUCAGGGACGAAACAAGAGACGGUACCUGAGGAAUAAGCCACGGCUAACUAUGUGCCAGAAGCCGCGGCAAUCCGUAGGCGGCAAGCAUUAUCAGGAUUUACUGGGUGUCAAGGGCGUGUAGGCGGGAAGGCAAGUCAGAUGGGAAAACCAUGGGCUCAACCUGUGGCCUGCAUUUGAGAAUGGUUUUCUUGAGUACAGGUGCGGCAGACGGAAUGCCUGGUGUAGCGGUGAAAUGCGUAGAUAUUAGGAGGAACACCGGUUGCGAAGGCAGUCUGCUGGACAGCAACUGACGCUGAGGCGCGAAAGCGUGGGGAGCAAACAGGAUUAGAUACCCUGGUAGUC
rnacentral:rRNA from 1 species